rnacentral:rRNA from 1 species
AACGAACGUUGGCGGCGUGGAUUAGGCAUGCAAGUCGAGCGAAUCCCCAGCAAUGGGGGGAAGCGGCGAAAGGGGCAGUAAGGCGUGGGUAACCUACCCCGGGGACUGGUAUAGCCCUUCGAGAGAAGGGGUAAUCCCGGGCGAUGUGGCGAGGGGGCAUCCUCUUGUCACCAAAUGAGUCUCGCCCUGGGAGGGGCCCACGUGAUAUUAGCUAGUUGGUAGGGUAACGGCCUACCAAGGCGAAGAUGUCUAGCGGGUGUGAGAGCACGACCCGCGCCACUGGCACUGAGACACUGGCCAGACACCUACGGGUGGCUGCAGUCGAGGAUCUUCGGCAAUGGGCGCAAGCCUGACCGAGCGACGCCGCGUGGGCGAUGAAGGCCUUCGGGUUGUAAAGCCCUGUCGAGGGGGAGAAAGGGAAACUUGAUCUAUCCCUGGAGGAAGCACGGGCUAAGUUCGUGCCAGCAGCCGCGGUAACAC